rnacentral:lncRNA from 13 species
CUCACUUGACCUGCUUUGUUGCACAAAACCCUGUAGCUCACCUUUGCCUUCCCGUCUGUUUACUCUUCGUGUGGGGUUGUCAAGGAGAAACAUUGGAGGGGAGAGGAGGAAGCAGGCGGUAUUAUGGGCAGUCGGUCUCUCCUCUCUCAGCCAACUAUGAGAACUAUUUGGGAUUGAAGGAGAUAAGCUACAGCAGGUCGCCACUUGUCCUGAACGCUCGACCAUUCUUUGAGCAAGAAGACAGACCUGGGUCGAAUUAUUCUCCAGCCUAUAUGCUGGGACAAAGAUUUUCAUGACUGUAAUCACCACAAGAGCUUUCCUGUAUUCUACGUGCAGAUGGCCACAGCCUCACAGUCUAAUAGAAAAAUCUACCCGAAGCCUCUGAGAGGCCCAGCAUAAUCGGGGGCACGGAAAACAGGAAUGAGAAGGGGGCAGAGUGCUGCUGGGCUCAGCUAGUGAAAUGCGAAGAAACUUCAGCUCCUAGAAUGUGGGAUCCAGGUGAACCCUAACCUUGAAGAGUCCCAGAGUUCGAGGGCCAGGCUGACAGAGAACUGGAGA